rnacentral:rRNA from 1 species
UACGGAGGGGGCGAGCGUUAUUCGGAAUUAUUGGGCGUAAAGGGCGCGUAGGCGGCUUGACAAGUCAAAGGUGAAAUCCCUCGGCUCAACUGAGGAACUGCCUUUGAAACUGUCUGGCUUGAGGCCGGUAGAGGGUAGUGGAAUUCCCAGUGUAGCGGUGAAAUGCGUAGAUAUUGGGAGGAACACCAGUGGCGAAGGCGGUUCUCUGGGAAUUACCUGACGCUGAGGAGCGAAAGCAUGGGGAGCGAACAGG